UACGUAGGGGGCAAGCGUUGUCCGGAAUCAUUGGGCGUAAAGAGCGCGUAGGCGGUCCGGUAAGUCAGCUGUGAAAGUCCAGGGCUCAACCCUGGGAUGCCGGUCGAUACUGCCGGACUAGAGUUCGGAAGAGGCGAGUGGAAUUCCCGGUGUAGCGGUGAAAUGCGCAGAUAUCGGGAGGAACACCUAUGGCGAAGGCAGCUCGCUGGGACGUUACUGACGCUGAGACGCGAAAGCGUGGGGAGCGAACAGG
rnacentral:rRNA from 1 species